AAGACUGUACUUUCAGGGAUCAUUAUACAGUUCAUUUGUAGAGAAGUUUCUCUGACCCGGGAAACCACAAGGAGGCGUAGUGUUCUCUCCAGAGCGUGAAACCGGCUCCUGGUGUUGCUUUGCUUUGCUGCCACUGGCCACUUGCCACUGAUGAUUGUUCCUGCUCUCUUUCCGGGGAGCUUGAGGAAGAGAACCCCAUCUGAGUGGA
ensembl:snoRNA U3 Small nucleolar RNA U3